CGUCAGCUCGUGUUGUGAAAUGUUGGGUUAAGUCCCGCAACGAGCGCAACCCUUAUCCUUUGUUGCCAGCGGUCCGGCCGGGAACUCAAAGGAGACUGCCAGUGAUAAACUGGAGGAAGGUGGGGAUGACGUCAAGUCAUCAUGGCCCUUACGACCAGGGCUACACACGUGCUACAAUGGCGCAUACAAAGAGAAGCGACCUCGCGAGAGCAAGCGGACCUCAUAAAGUGCGUCGUAGUCCGGAUUGGAGUCUGCAACUCGACUCCAUGAAGUCGGAAUCGCUAGUAAUCGUGGAUCAGAAUGCCACGGUGAAUACGUUCCCGGGCCUUGUACACACCGCCCGUCACACCAUGGGAGUGGGUUGCAAAAGAAGUAGGUAGCUUAACCUUCGGGAGGGCGCUUACCACUUUGUGAUUCAUGACUGGGGUGAAGUCGUAACAAGGUAACCGUAGGGGAACCUGCGGUUGGA
rnacentral:rRNA from 1 species